UACAGGGGGGGCAAGCGUUAAUCGGAAUUACUGGGCGUAAAGCGUGCGCAGGCGGUUUUGUAAGUCUGUUGUGAAAUCCCCGGGCUCAACCUGGGAAUGGCGAUGGAGACUGCAAGGCUAGAGUUUGGCAGAGGGGGGUAGAAUUCCACGUGUAGCAGUGAAAUGCGUAGAGAUGUGGAGGAACACCGAUGGCGAAGGCAGCCCCCUGGGUCAAAACUGACGCUCAUGCACGAAAGCGUGGGGAGCAAACAGG
rnacentral:rRNA from 1 species